rnacentral:rRNA from 1 species
AGAAUCAACGCUGGCGGCGUGCCUAACACAUGCAAGUCGAACGAGAAAGUGGAGCAAUCCAUGAGUAAAGUGGCGCACGGGUGAGUAACACGUGACUAACCUACCUUUUAGUGGGGGAUAACCUAGGGAACCUGGGCUAAUACCGCAUAAUACCUACGGGUCAAAGCAGCAAUGCGCUGAAAGAGGGGGUCGCGGUCGAUUAGUUAGUUGGCAGGGUAAUGGCCUACCAAGACUGUGAUCGAUA